UACGUAGGGUGCAAGCGUUAAUCGGAAUUACUGGGCGUAAAGCGUGCGCAGGCGGUUAUGUAAGACAGAUGUGAAAUGCCCGGGCUUAACCUGGGAACUGCAUUUGUGACUGCAUGGCUAGAGUUUGGCAGAGGGGGGUAGAAUUCCGCGUGUAGCAGUGAAAUGCGUAGAUAUGUGGAGGAACACCGAUGGCGAAGGCAGCCCCCUGGGUCAAGACUGACGCUCAUGCACGAAAGCGUGGGGAGCAAACAGG
rnacentral:rRNA from 1 species